rnacentral:tRNA from 1 species
GCGUCCUUAGUUCAGUAGGAAGAACGCAGGUCUCCAAAACCUGAUGUCGAGGGUUCGAGUCCUUCAGGACGUG